rnacentral:lncRNA from 1 species
AUAAAUAUAACUCUCACAAGCAUCACACAUUGUCUCAAUGAUGCAAACUUAUAGAUCUCUUAUCUUGACAGUCUUAGGAUUCUUAAAUCUUAAUUGUCAAGCGUAAAAGAACUAAACCAUGCACAAUCCCGAUAUUUCACACUGUUCAUUAUUUAGCAAGCAUACCCAUAUAUAACCAACGCCUGGUAGUGCUAAAAGUUAACCGUGUCCCUGAGUUCUGAAAACCAAAUAUACAGGAAAGGACAGCAUGGUAAGCACACCUUGCCGAUUGCAAGCUUUCCAUCUUCUUGCACAGUGCAUUUGCAAGACAUCAUGGAAUAACUUCGCUGCUUGUCAUCCCCGCAAAAAAAAAAAAAAAAAAAAAAAAAAAACUUCGCUGCUUGUCAAACACCUAUAAGUAUAGGUAUUUACAGUUGCAGGCCCAAAAGUCAAUUCAAAAUCGGGUAAGGAACAACAAAGGGCAAUUCUCAAGUUGUUACGCUUACAAACCUAGACUUGGUAGUACUCUUUUGAUGAAACGAACUCCAGCCGCGUCCUCUUCGCAGAGGAUCGCUCCAUAUCAUCCAAGAAGUGACUGGGAAAAUCCGUAUAGAACGUUUUAUGUUUUUUUUUCGAAAAGGGGAUUCCUCGGCUUCUGCAUCAGAACGAUGCAUACGGCCACAUUUAUAAAUAAAAUAGGUUCAACAAGGUCUUAAAGUCUGGAAACAAAAUAAAGGCUAGCUCACAGAGAGCCUCAACGCCAAAGAUAAAAAGGCCAUGGAGCCACAACUGGCUGGCAAAACAAAGAUAGGAAAACUAAUUGCCUAUCCUAUUACAUGACCGCCAUCCAAACCGGUUGAAGAUAUCCCGCGCUACCAUCUCCCACCGGACAGAUCCAGUAACCAAACGCUCUCUGGCCUCCGUCGGAGUGAGUAACGACCACAUACGGAUCAGCGCCGUAGCUCGGAAUAAAACCUGCAAAAAAUGAAUAGUUGUUGUUCUGUUAAAAGCCAAAUCAUUUCUGCGGUUCCAAAUUGCCCAUAACAAUGCACAUACUCCUACAUGAAUGUGUCUAGCUGUAUCGGACUCUAUCCCAUCAAGCCACGUUCCAAAUAACGUAUCGACCGAAUUCGGAGGAGUAAUGUUAAAGGCAAUUUGCACGGUGCGCCACAAAACUCUCGCCAACGGGCACUCAAAGAAGAGGUGCUUAAUGGUCUCGUCCCGAUCACAAAAACUACACCUAGUUGAUCCUGUCCAAUUGCGCUUAACCAAGUUGUCCUUUAUUAAGAUGACUUGUUUAUGUACAAACCACAUAAACACUUUAAUCUUCAAAGGAACUUUUACUUUCCAAACAUGUUUGGAACUAGGAAUGACACUAGAGUUAAUGACAUCGAUAUACAUCGACUUAACCGUAAAUUCUCCAGACCUAGUAAGUUUCCAACACAACUGAUCGGGCUGAUGAGCUAGCUGAACCUCCAUCAGUCUACUCACAAAAUGAAGCCAUGCUUCCCAUCUAUCACCAACAAGCACCCUCCGAAACUGGAUAUUAAGGGGAAUGGACUGCAUAAUCAUUGCAACUAGCGCAUCACGUCGUUGAACAAUACGAUACAGGGACGGGUACUGGAGCGCCAAUGGCGUAUCACCAAGCCAAGUAUCCUCCCAGAAACGGGUAUUGUUGCCAUCACCGACUAUAAACUUUGUUCUAUUAAAGAAGGCUGCCUUAACUCUCAUAAGCCCCUUCCAAAACGGCGAAUCAGUUGGUCUCACUGUCACCUGUGACAAAGUUUUGGACUGCAGAUACUUGUUACGGAGAAUCUGCGCCCAUGUUGCGUCAGUCUCAACUGAUAACUUAUAUAGCCACUUACUGAGAAGGCAUCUGUUCUUGACCUCAAGAUUCUCAAUACCCAGACCCCCUUGGUCCUUUGGUCUACAGAUGAUAUCCCAUUUGGCGAGAAGGUACUUUCUCUUUAGUUCACCACUCUGCCAAAAAAAUCUUGAUCGGUAGAAGUCCAGCCUUUUCCUAACCCCAACUGGAACUUCAAAGAAAGAUAGUAGGAACAUCGGCAUACUCGUGAGCACCGAAUUGAUAAGAAUCAACCGGCCUCCAUAAGACAUAAGUUUGCCCUUCCAGCAACUAAGUUUCUUCUCAAACCGAUCCUCGAUGCAUUUCCACUCUCUGUUUGUUAGCUUACGAUGGUGAAUGGGUAUACCUAGGUAAGUAAAAGGUAAAGCCCCUAAUUCACAUCUAAACAAUUGCCUAUAAGCCUCUUGUUCCUCCUUGGCUCUACCAAAGCAGAACAACUCGCUUUUAUGAAAGUUAAUCUUUAAUCCGGACAAUUGUUCAAAUAAGCAUAACACCAGCUUCAUAUUUCUCGCUUUUGCCAAGUCAUGCUCCAUAAAGAUGAUUGUAUCAUCAGCGUACUGCAAAAUGGACACACCCCCAUCAACUAGGUGAGGCACCAAGCCACCCACCUGACCGGCCUCCUUUGCCCUACCUAUGAGAAUUGCCAACAUGUCAACCACAAUGUUGAACAAAAUAGGGGACAUUGGAUCAUCUUGCCUCAGGCCUUUGUGUGUCUGGAAAUAAUGACCUAUAUCGGCAUUCACUUUAAUUUCAACACUCCCUUUUUGCGUGAAGGAUUCUACCUGGCGUCGCCAAGCUUCAUCAAAACCCAUCAUGCGUAAGGCCUAUUGAAGGAAAGGCCAUUUGAUUUUGUCAUACGCUUUCUCGAAAUCCACUUUGAAAACAACCCCAUCCAGCUUUUUCGUGUGGAUCUCAUGGAGCGUUUCAUGAAGGACCACAACCCCUUCAAGGAUGUUCCUGUCCGGCAUAAAAGCAGUUUGCGUAGGCUGCACCACAGCAUGCGCGAUCUGUGUGAGCCUAUUAGUCCCGACCUUGGUAAAGAUUUUGAAACUUACAUUAAGAAGACAGAUGGGCCUGAAUUGCUCAAUUCUCACAGCCUCUGUUUUCUUAGGAAGAAGGGUUAUCGUUCCAAAAUUCAGCUGAAAAAGCUGAAGCUGCCCAGAGAAGAGAUCAUUGAACAAAGGCAACACAUCCCCUAUAAUAAUAUGCCAGCACUUUUUAUAAAACUCCGCAGGAAAUCCAUCGGGGCCCGGCGCCUUGUUAUUUUCCAUUUGCGAAAUGGCCUCAAACACCUCUUUCUCAGAAAAAGGAGCCGCUAGAAUAUCAUUCUCCACCGCUGUGAGUUGAGGAACAUCCUCAACCCUGGACUCAUCUAGAGACACACAGUUAUCCUCUGGAGGACCAAACAGCUGCUUGUAAUACUCUGUAAUGUACAGUUUUAGGUUUUCCUGUCCUAAAAUUAUUCCUUCAUCUUGCUCAAGCUGAAAGAUCCUCUUCUUUCAAUGCUUACCAUUAGCAAUCAUGUGAAAGAAUUGAGUGUUCGCAUCCCCCUGGACUACUCGCCGGACCUUGGCCCGCAACGCCCACUUCAAUUCCUCUUCUCGAAGAAGUUCUUUCAGCCUCAUCUCCGCGUCAAGCUUGGCAUGAAGCUCCGCGGCCGGCAGCACCGUGGUUUCUGCUUUUACAUCUAGGGACUGAAUAAGGGAAAGGAGCCUUUCCUUUUCGACCUCAUAAAUCCCACUAAGAUGCUUAGCCCACCCACGCAGGAAACUUCUCAAAUGCCUAAUCUUAUUCUGCCAGGGCUGAAGCGCAGUCUUCCCUCCUGAAUCCUUAGCCCACUCUCUGGCUACGAGAUCAAAGAAACCUUCUCGUUCAAACCAAGCCAGCUCAAAGGAGAACGAGUUUUUGUUUCCCAAGUGGGUGGCCUCACCAGAGUCCACAAAUAACGGCGUGUGAUCAGAAAUUCCACGGGACAAAACCUGAACUGUGACUAGCGGAAACUUCUGUUCCCAAUCGACACUUGCCAACACUCGAUCCAACUUCUCAUACGUCGGACUUGGCAGCGCGUUAGCCCAGGUGAAUUUUCUACCCGAGAGCUCAAUUUCUCUCAGGUCAAGACUUUCAAUGAUAGUAUUGAACAUGAACGACCAUCUGCCGUCAAAGUUAUCAUUGUUCUUAUCCUCACGCCUUCUAAUGAUAUUGAAAUCACCCCCCACCAGGAUAGGAAGCUGCUCGAAACCGCAAAUCCUAACGAGAUCAGCCAAGAACUCGGGCUUGAGUUCGGGCUGUGCGGCACCAUAUACCGCAACCAAAGCCCAAUUAAACCCAUCGUCCUUCGAACGCACCCGAAACUUGACUGCAAAGUCACCCAUUACCACACUUCGAACCUCGAGCGCUUCGCAUCGAACGCCGAGUAAGAUUCCACCCGAUCUCCCUCUCGGUGGCAGGCAAUGCCAAUCAAAAUCAAUACCUCCCGACAAAGUAUUUAGAAAUUGUGGCGCAAAAUUAUCUCUACCUGUCUCCGAUAGAGCGAUAAAAUCUAAUCGAUGCUCGACAGACGCCUCAGCAAGAAACCUUCUUUUAGCCAAGUCCUUUAGACCUCUGCUAUUCCAAAAGAUUCCUUUCAUAGUUCAUCAUGGAAUUUUUUAGCCGUACGAAUCCUAGCACUCCUACGCACUGCGGAUACCGGGUACACCUUCCGUUUCCACUUGCGUUUAGAGACAUUUUGACUCUGCAACCGGUCCUCACAACCAGUCUGAGAAGGUCCAGCCAUAACCAUCUCAGUAGUAUCAUCCUCUCCUUCCGCCUCAGGUAUGGGAGGAAUAAGAUCCGCACAAAAAUUGUUGAGCACCCUGACUCCCAACGCAUCAACCUCAGAAUCACUGAUGGGUUUAACCACCGCUAAAUUACGAAUCAUCUCUAAGGCCCGCUCAGCCUCUAGAUCCAAAAGAUCAUUAAUAGAAUUAGAGAUUUCAGUAGCAUCACUACCUAGUGAAACUCCUAAUUGAUUUGCAUUUUCAACAAUCUCAUCAUUAGAAAAAUGCAGAAUGGAAUUAUAAGUAUUAACCGACAUACCUGUAGUGACCUCAACGUCACGGAGCUUGGCCGCCCUCAUGGCGCACCGCUGCUAAUGUCGUCCACAUCCGGCUGAGUCUGGAGACGGCCACUCACCCGUCUCCCCUCAGACAUCGGAUCCUGAAUCCCUCCAAACGCAAUAACCUCCUCCCGAGAGAUCCUGGUCGGGGUAGGGCCUCCUGCCUCACCCCAACCGCUAGGCCGGUCCGCCUGCACGGACUCCCCAGCAGACUCGCCAGGAAGUGGAAAGGCACUCACCAUGGCCUCAGACAUCUGGCGCGCCCCACAGGACGUAGCCGACGGCGAACGGGGUGAAGGGAGUGCAUGGGCCACCUGCCCUAACUCCCCACCCAGCACCGGAGAGGCCACCACCAUAGGCGCCUCAGGAGAAGAGGGCUCCGAGGCCACCUGCCCCGAGCCCCCUCCCGAUGGCACAGUCGCCACCAGCAGAGAGGUAGACGCGACGGGAGAGGAGGUAUCCGAGGCAACUUGCCCCAGACCUCCUCCCAACGUAGAGAAGGACACGGGUGCCACCUGCCCCGAAUCCCCUACCUCUGGAGGAGAAGAGCAACCCAAGGCCGCCUGCCCCGGGACCCUUCCCGACAAACCAGCCAUGAACACCGGCACCACGUCCUGAGGAGGGACAGCGUGCUGAGCACGAGAGGGAGUGGCCACCUGCCGACUCACCUCCUCCUCUCCCCAGACCGAGAUCGAUGAAGCCCCAGGAACCCCAGGAAUAGUACACACAGUAUCCUCAAAUCCCAAAGCAGGCAACGCGAGCUCAAAAGCCUCCUCGGACUCAACCCGAUCACUCCACAGCCUCGGGGGUGCAGAAGCGGGUUCGAAGGACCCAAAUCUCAGAGUCGUCGUAGGCACCGAGGAGGGAGGAGCCGCUCCAUCCCCGGUCAUCGCGGUCUCGGACCCCGGACCCUUGGACAUCUGUCAUCCAGAGUCCUCGACCGGCGGCUCCUUUGCUCCCGCGCUGCCAUCACCCUCGUGCAUAUCCACGUCGGACCCGUGAGCCGCCGCAGCCAAAAGGCUCUCAUCCUCAAACUCAAUAACCAGAUUAUAAAUCCUGCCUCGAUAAGCCCACUUAACCACUUCCGGCACAUACUCAACGUUCAGAAUACUAACCAGAACCCGAGCAAUCCCGUGAGCUCUGGUGAAAGCCAUAUCCACUCGCUCAGGCUUCCCCACCAAAAUGCCCAAGCUGGCCACAACCCGAGCAUCCUGCAAUGGCUUGGAGGGGGGCCCGGAAAAUCGCAACCACGCCUGAGUAAGCGGCUUACCCUGAGGCUCCACCUGCUUCCACUCAUGAAACUCAAGGAUGCAAUCAGUUCCCGGCACUUUACACAUCCCAAAACUCAGCAACCUCUGCAGAUCCUCCACCGAAGGAAACUCAACUCUGAACAUCUUAUCAGCGAGGCUGACGAGGUCCCACUGGAAAUCCCCAGGGGCCAGCUCCCGAAGCCUCUGCACGAUCUGUGUCUCAGAGACCUCCCCUCUGGUGACCUUGACAAUCCCCGUAGUCAUACUCGGGGUCUCAUCAGUAACCUCUCGCCCAUUCGGAGACUUGAAAAACGUUAGCUCAGCACAGUAUACUCCAUACAUCAUAAGUGACGGUGCCUGAUCUUGCAGAAUCGGACAGUCCCCAGAGUCGUGUGCCGGCUUACCGCAGGUAUCACAUAACAGAGCCACACACUCCGCAAUGAAGUGGCCCUUGUCACUACAUCGAUAACAAAGCAUCUUUUCCUUCUUGCGCGCCCAUUUGGACACCCUAUCAGAGUCAGCCCUAUGCGUCAUCUCCACAGACACAUCAGCCAUAACCUCGUUCUCAGGAACCUGAACAGUAGCAAGAGCCGUCACCACCUCCAUAGCGUGACCGGUCAACACUGGCUCCUCGGCAGCCCCGUUAUCUAUCAUCUACUCGACAACAACAGGUGGGGCGGUUGUCGUGGACGGUACCUGCCCCCUCGACCGCCCCGACCACCACGAUGGCCACGGAAACCUACCCGUUGCCGAUUACCCGGACCAGAAGGCCCCUCAACGAAGCCACCGGAAGGACCCAAGAACGGUCUCUCAGCCGAACCGUCGCUUUGCCAAGCAUAACCAUGACCUCCACCCGUGGAUGAAGAACCACGGUGCUGGCCAGCCCCAUAGGCAUCGAAGCCGUCAUCCCCCCAUUGACCCCGAGGCGCAGCCACAGUCCCACCAACGUUGGACUGCGACGGCGGAGACGGGCGAGCAACGACGUGGGGUGGAGGGGCCGGUCUAGGCUGCGGACCCGAAGACACAGGUGGCCUUGGUGGCGCAGCCCCCCGGCCCGCAGCGGCCACCUCAGCACCGCCGGAAGCCACCGGCCGAGGACCGGAGCCCGGUCCGCCUCGCCUGCCCGACUGCAAGACCGGUGCCGGCGGCCUCCCAGCGGGCGCCCCGCCAGCAAAGUGCGUCAUACCAGGGCCACCCGACCCGCGUCCCGCUGCGGCCUUGGGGAGCGCCACGCCCUGCACCUGACGCCGGCGCCGGCAGCGCGCCCCGGCCAUAGCCCUGGCCCGGCGGCGGCGCCCCAUUAGCACGAGUUGCCCCGCUAGGCUGAGGCGGCCGCUUUCCGGGAGGAGGCGCACCACCAGUACCAGCCAUCGCGCCGAGAGGAGGAAUGCGGCGAGCCCGGCCAGGCCCCGCAGUACGCAAACGCGGCGCUCGACGCAACAAAACCCUAGGGCGCGGCAACGGAGUAGGCGACGACGAUCGGCACGUGCAUGCGCCCCUCCCCUCAGUAUCGAUUGGAACCGAUUCCGGCUGGGCCUCAUACCCACAGGACCUCGGCCCAAUAAUACCAACCGGCCCAACAGCUUGCAGCUCGGCUCGGGCCAGGAGCAAAUUCAAACGCUCCUGGCAAGCGUCUCGGAUCUGGAUCGCCGUGACCGCCGGCGACGCUGCCGCGGUCACCUCCAGCGCCGAUCGAGAGCUUUUCCGGCAGGCAUUCUUUCUCUUCACCAAAGUCCAUGAAUCCGGCGGAGAUUGAAUUGCUGCCGGACCUUGUUUCUUUUUCUUCCGCGUAACCCUCGUCCAUCCAUCCAAGGAGAAAUAAUCUGACAAAGUGUGAGGCGGCAAAGUUACCUUGGGUAUAGGUCCUUUCCACGGCUUGAUCUUCAUCGAUGAGGGUUUACCGAGUCCCUCCGAUUUUUGAUCCAAAACGUUCUUGUCAUGGUGCCCCUUGGCCGGAUCGAGCACCAAGCACGAUUCAUACCGAUGCAUGGACACCUUGGUCUUGACGUCAUUAGUCGCUGGCAAGACGCGCCCGCCCUCAUCUUCUUCGUCUUCGUCUUCAUCGUCGAACGUUUAUGUACAUGGCUCUUGGAUCCUUGUCCCUAGGGAGUAUGUAAAGGUUAUUUGUGUUUAUAGCUAUAUGUCACUCGUUGGACUCUGUUCACGUCACUCCCAAAUAAGAUAUUGCACAUGUACCCUAAAGAGUCCAAUUUAGCAUUGUUCCUUCUACAUGAGCAUUUGUUGUUGGCUCCAUGUUAAGGGCCAAUUCUUUUGAGCUGAUUCUCAACAAUCAUGUGUGGAGAAUCAACAAUCGAAAUAGAACUCGAUAUGCUUCUCCAAUACCGUCUGAGAAUCAUCAUAAUCCGCAGUAGUCUAAUGAGAAGGGCAGCGAUCUGCGCCGGCGCACCGGCCCAAUCGUUGGGCCGGUCAAGCCCCAGCCGUCCGAUCCGCAAGCUCGAGCCGUAAGAUCUGUUCCUCGCGCCUCCUUCCCCCCGCGUUGACUUCUUCUUCCUCUUCUUCUUCUUCAUUGCGCCCCCACCCCAGCCGCUCCUGCCGCCGGCGACUAGCCCCCUCGCCUGGACCUCCUCCCCCCUAGUCCCACACUGCUGGAUGCGCUCUCCAUCCCUGUCGCCGCCGGUCGCUGUCCCUGUCGCCGUCGCAGCAUCCAUACUCACCCCCCGGUCCAGCAGAAAGCCCGUCGCCCCCUCGUAGCAAAAAAUGGCGCCGCCUUGAAGCACGCCGGCACCCCCUGUCGUUGCAGCACCUAGCAGCUGCCAUCGUCGCUGCACUGUCGUGUCGCCGACGCAGCUCUCAGCGUCGCCGCUCGCUGCCAUUGGCGAGUCAGGUUGAAGCUUUUUAUCUCAUCGGUUGAAACUUUUCUCUAUGCCUGUUGAAGCUUUUCUCGUGGAUUGAAGCUUUCCACCGUGCUAAUUGAAGCUUUUUUCACCUGAGCUUGAAGCUUUUUUCACAAAGGGUUGCAGCUUUUUACUCUAGGGUUGCAACAAAAACAUAGAGAGACGCCAUGGUCGUCGUCGAGGAGGAUUUUCUCAAUCUCUGUUUGAAGCUUUUUCAUCUACGGGUUGAAGCUUUUUGUCAAAACGGUUGUAACUUUUCCUAUAUUUCGUUGUCUGGUUGAAGCUUUUUUAUCUACUGGAUGUAGCUUUUUGUGUCCAUGGUUGUAGCACGGGAAAACGCCGUUUGCAACUCUCCCAGUACGGUGGUUGCAGCUCCUCCCCGUGGCCAUGGUUGUAGCACGGGCACCUCGGUCCUCCCCGCGUUUGGCCUGUCGCCGGUUGCAGCAAAAAAAGGGAAGAGAGGGGGAGGAAAGGGAAGAGAGGGAGAAGGAAGAAGGGUAGCUGCUGGUGCCGCGAGGGGACGGCAGCUCAGGAGAACGCCGGCGAGCAGGAUCUGCAAGGUGGGAAGAGAGAGAAGACGAGCAGUUGAAGAGAAAGUUGGAAGGGGAUAAGGUCGUGUGAUUGGGACCCACCACCCCACGUGUCGCGACUUGACUUGCUACAGCGCGCGCGUGGACGAAACCGGUGGAACGGUUCGGCCGGUGCCCCAGCCAGAAACGAUUCCCUAAUGAGAAUCACCAGGAUCGGUAGUCUAUUGGAAAAUCGGUUCCCAACCAUGAUUCCCACGGUUCUUAGCAGUCUCGCUAAAGAAAACGGUUCGAUUUAAGUCGCUAACCCUAUUAGAGCACCAAAUCACAUCCAAAUUGACAGUUGGCCCCUGAACUGUGAUGCCCAAUGCUCACCUUGCGCCACUAGCCUGCUGACAGCUUCCAACCGGCCGCCACUGCUGGGUCGGGGAGCACUAGAGUAGGGCGAUGGACUUCCGCUCAACAGACUUGUUCAUGGCAACCAGGUGGAGCAAUUCCUGCUUUCUCCGUCCGAUACCCCGUCGUCAGUCCCUCACAACCACAAGUCGAGUCAGCCCACCACUUCCCCCAUCGCAUUGCCCUUUCUGCUCGGGCUCGGCGACAGAUCGAUCGACAACCUACACCAGUGGCGGAGCUUGGUAGAAACUGUUGGGGGGCAAGGCCAAAACAUGACUAUUUGGGAGCGGCUAAAAAGUUUCUCAUCUAAGCUCUCCCUCAAAAAAAAUUCUUUAGAGUUUGGUCCAAGGUUGGGGGGGGGGGGGGCAAUGGCCCCCUCGGCCUCAACAUAACUCCGCUAGUGACCAGGACUCACGAGCUUCCGGCAAACGACCAUGGCGGAGGCCGCGAUAGAGGGUGUACCAUCGCAUCUAUGCCACGGCUUCUCAGAGGAGAUCUUCCUGGAGGCCUCCUCGUCGUGUCUUUCCGCGGCGUCUGCCAUCCGGCGACCCGACAAUAUAUUCCUCUAUGGGCAUUUAUGGAUUUACGCUCAUUUGCAUGUACCCACAUGCUCCUACCGGUGAGUACAAGCUAAUAUAUCAGCAUCGGGAUCCGGUAGCUGCCAGUCAAAAUGGGUGCUAUAUAUUCACACUCGGAGCCAGGCAGCCGCCGAUGCGCGUAGAGUAGGUGGGCAGAGUGAAGUUGAUAUCCCACAGAGCACUGCUAUUCCGUGUUUGCUUGCACUGGUACCGAGUACUGACUGCACCUGGGAGGGAAAGGAACAUUAUAGUGGUAUUCUACACAAUGAAUGAGUCAUUCCGAAACAUGCUCGCUCCAGUUGUUCCUAGCAUAGCCGAUUUGUUUGAGAUGGAUGGCAUGCUCGGCAUGACCAAUUUCAAUGAUGCUGCGACAAGCAUUGAUAUCAGGGUGUUGCAGGAUUACGAAAGCGAGGCCUGGACUUUCAAGUGCCAGAUUAAAUUGCCGAUAAUGGAGAUCAGUGCAAAGUGUGAGAAUCACGAUGACGAUUCUGAUGUGGUGGUCGUGCCUAGCGAUGGCAAGUUGCUCGUGUUGGUCAAAUUCUCUAAGUGGCUAAUUCAGGUUGACGUGGACAACAAGGUAGUAAAAACUUUCCAAAUAAAUGAAAAUGUCUACCUCAAUACACAAUCAUGCAUAAAAAAAGUUUUACACUGUGCAAUAAUCACAUUAUAUUAUUAAUUCACAUAUUUGUGCUCUACAACCAAUCUCAAUACAUUGCAACCAGUUUCGCCGCAAUGCGCGGGGUAUCAUCUAGUAUAUAUAAUUAUGUAUAUGAAUAACAAUUUCUCAAAUAUAUGUUUUGAUGUCUAGUUUUCUUCGUACACAACAUGCAUUUUUAAUACACCCGAUACUUUUUUGUACAUGUCUACCAUUUUAUAUAUACAUGUUUAACAUUUUGAAAUACAUGAUUAAUAUUGAUUAAACAUAUAUUUUUGGUGUCUAUCUUUUUUUAUACACGUUUAACAUUUUUCAAAAAUACAAUUAACAUUUUUUAAAACUUAUAAUUUUUUAUGUCAACCUUUUUUCCUACACAUUGUAUAUUUUUUGCAUACAUUUUUGGUAUACAUCGGCAUUAAAAUUUUACAAAAAAACAUGUUAAGUGUUUUUUCUAAUAGAUUAUUUGGAAGUAUAUACAAGGGGCCUCCGGCGGCUCGGGACGACCUCCAUCAUCAGGAAGAUGUACAUGAUUUAGAAAUCCGACAGAAGUUCACCUGCCAUGCAUGGGUCAAACACACGCAUCCUUUCAAAUUUCAAGCCCGGUGACUUCCUGGGGUGUUGCAUGGUUCAUGCCUAAACGGCGGACGCUGGCGAAGCCGAUGAACUACACGAAAAUGAAGGCCAAGAAAAAGCAUCUCCUCGGAGAGGUCUUGCAUCUCGUCAACACCAAGACUUACCUGUCUUGGACAAGCUCAGAACCAAUGCCAGAUUUCGAUGUUUUCUUUGCAGGGGAGAAAAAUGUAUUACUCAAUCACAAAGUUCUUACAAUCCUCCUUCACCAAAUCUAAGACCAUAGACGGACCCGAACCGAUCCACGUCAUGGUUCUACCUUCGGUUCUUGCAAAUCUAGCUAGCCUUAUUUUGACUACGACUAACAUGAGUAAUACAAGUUUCUCGAAGAAGUAAGAAAUGCUUAACUUCUUUCAUGAGAGAGGCAUAGACGGAUCUGUCCUCUUCAUGCUUCUGAAUCAUGCCAACCGUCGUCAGCUCUCGAUCUCAAUUGGUAGCUCACUUCUUUGGAUAGCAAAGGAUAGCCCUUCCAUGCAUGCACAAAGUUCCACCUCCAGCGCAUCAUCACAAGUAAACAACUGUCUACACGUAGAAAAAAUAACACCACCAGCUUCAGUGUGUAAGAUCAUUCCCGCGCCGGCUGAACCGUCCUCUGCAAAUGACCCGUCAGUACUCAGUUUGACCCAGCCGAGCCUCGGCGGAGUCCAUGCCAAGGCCGGAGCUACAGCGCCAGCUUGCCGCACUUCUGGGUCAUAAGAUAGAAUCAUCUUCCCUUUCCUAGGAUCAGCAUGCAUGUUUGUCUUGAAUCCCAUGAGCGAGUCCAAGUAACUCUGUAGGAACCUGCGUGAUGCAUCCAUCGGAGGGACUGGUUUCAGGUGCAUAAUUUCAUUCCGAAUGUACCAGCAUCUCCAAAAAGUGAACAGCACCAUACAUCGCCUUAUAUCAUCCAGCGGCUCUAAGACCUGGAACAGCCACUCUCUUCCGGUAUUCAGAAUUGACUUAAUGUCAGCCAGCUCCCACACCUUUGUCAUCGUCAGGUAUAGUUGGCGAGCCAAUGGGUGUUGGCGCCGCCUCCUCGCAGCGCCGCUCUUCUUCUACCUCGAGCUGCGUCUCACAGCUUACACUACUCUCUCUUCUCUCUCUCAUGGUUUCUCACAAGAACACAAGAAAACACAUACACACACGCACACACAUGGGCCAAGGAAGGAUGCAAUAGCUUUGCCGAGAGACACCUUCCUUGGUGAGCCGUGGCUACAGCGUGUUUUUCCAGCCUUCACAGCCUCCUUCUCAUUGACUCAGAGAACACAUAUAUACACACAAGAAUGGACUCACGCACGCACACGACCCAGCGGCCACACACACCACUAACCCAUGCAAUCACGCAUCACCCGGCCACUAACUCCAUGCACUACCAAAUCACUAAUUGCAUGCGCGUCUAUCUUCAUCACUUGCGCCAACUUCUCAACAGCCAAUCCGUAUGACCCUAUCCAUUUGCAUGCAACAGCUAACAAACCUGCAUGCACUAAACUGACUCACCAAGUUACUUGCUUAUCUAGCUCGCUACACAACGGCGGCUCCAGGACUUGUUCACACAGCACCGUCUCACACGGCUCGACCUGACUCAACAUGAUGCAGUCCGUCACGCUUCGGCCUCCAUGGUGUUUUGCCGCUUCUCACGACGUCGCCGCAUCGCACGGCAGCCCGGCAUCUCGCCUCCUUCGCACGCUGAGAUGAAGCUUCACGGGAUAAACAUCAACCUACACUAUACUACAUGCUAAACGAAAAUACAAUGAAGAUACAUAAUCAAGAUUAAUCCUAACAAUGGGCAGUUCAACAUUGGGUGAAAAUUGUCCUCAGUUUCCAUCCCACAGAUCGGACACAUACUUGAAACUUCAAGGCCUCCAUGCAAAGUUCCGAACUGUCGGGGGAACACCAGCUGACCAUAUUAGUUUCCACAAAGAUCUACUACCAUUUGGGCUACUACUCGAUGAAACAGCACUAUCCCGGUGAGCUUCCUCAAAAGCCAUAUCAUAAGCACUUUUUACUGAAAAGAGACCAAAGCGACCAGGUCCCCAUGCUAGAACAUCUUCCUCUUGUCUUGGAGAUGCACGGAUCUUCAUAAUUUCAGACAUGUCCGCAGGAUUAAAAUAUUCUGACAGGAGGUUAGCGUUCCAAGAACCAUUCUCAUUCAACAAAUGAGAGACAAAACGGAUACGACACCUCCCUUGAAGUGUGAUUGGCUUGUAUGAAUAAGGUCUCGGGAUCCAAUUAUCUCUCCGUAUCCUUAUACUUCUACCAUUACCUGUUGGAACCGUAGCUAUGCCCUAGCUCUACCUCUCUCUCUCGCUGCACCUUUCUCUCUCUCUGAACUAGAUCACCAGAGGAAGAAGAAGGAAGGAAAAGGAAGAAGGACAUAGACACAAGUUUUUCCCGGGCGCUGGAACGCCCGCCGCCGCACGUACGGCGUAUAUAUUUCCUCGAGCUCGAACUCGAUGUCCUAAACCACACCGUUACAAUGAUCGACCAGGGGCUUAUAUUGACGGGCCUGCGUUGGGCACGACCCACACGCACCCACCCCUCCUGGCGCCCCGAUCGGCCCGCUCAGCUCGCGCCCACCUCGCGCACGUACGCGUGCAGCUCGCGACGAGCCCGCAGCGAUCACGCCUAACUCUCGAUCCCCGUAACCUCCUGGUCUACCAACGCACGCUAGCUGGGUCCGCGCACACACACGCACGCACCAGCCUGACUCACGCACGCACGCACACACCCCUGACCCACGGACCCAGCACGAUCCGGUCCACGCCCGUCGCGCCCUGCGCGCGAUCACGCGGCCGCCACGCUCUGGCCGUGGCUCUUUAUUCCAACACUCACCCCCUGAGCCACGGCUCAGAGGAGUCCGCCGUCUUCAACUCUGAUGACGUCCGCCAGCAGCGCGUGCUCCGCCGCCGGCUCCCUCCGCAGCUUGGGGCAGUCCCUCUUGAAGUGGCCGCACUUGUAGCAGCGCCCGCGCCGGUUCCCGCCGCUGCUCGACGCCAUGCUCUUGCCGUCGUCGUCGUCCCGAGCACCGCCGUGUCAACGCUCCCGCGCAGCCCACUGCGCCGCCGUCAUGAGCAGUUGCUCACCCCCGCGCUCGCCACCGUCUUGUCCACGGCGUCGAACCCGCUCGUCAAACGCGCGCAGCCUCCCGAGCGCUUCGUCAAACGCCAUCGUCGUCACGUCGUGGAACUGCUCGAUGCCGGCGACGACGGGGAAGAGGCGAUCCGGCACCGUAUCCAGCAACUUCUUGAAAAGUGCUGCGUCGCCCAGCGUCUCCCCGAGGUUGGCAUACCUCGCCGCCAUCGCCGUGAGCCUCCCGCCGUACACAUCGAGCUCCUCGCCGUCCGCCAUCUUCAUGCGGUCGAAUUCGCCGCGCAGCGUCGCCAUCCUCGCCGCGCGGACCCGAUCGGCGCCGAUGAACCUCACCUUCAAGGAGUCCCAUACCUCCCUGGCGGUGAGCUUCGUCGACACCUGCAGCAACACCUCCUCCGGCAGCGCAACGAGCAGCAACGCGCGCGCCGACUUGUCCUUCCGCGCGUUCACCGCGGCAUCGCCCGGCGCCACCGCCUCCCACACGGUGUGCACGUCGAGGAUGGCAUGCGCCUUGAUCGCCCAGACAGUGUAGUUGUCCACCGUGAGCAUCGGCAUUGCCAUCGAUGCCGAUCCACCCGCGCCACCGCCGUGAGGAACCAACGCCAUGGUCGCCGGUGAUCGCCCGAACCGAAGCUCUGUAUACCAAUUGUUGGAACCGUGGCUAUGCCCUAGCUCUACCUAUCUCUCUCUCGCUGCACCUUUCUCUCUCUCUGAACUAGAUCACCAGAGGAAGAAGAAGGAAGGAGAAGGAAGAAGGACAUAGACACAAGUUUUUCCCGGGCGCUUGAACGCCCGCCGCCGCACGUACGGCAUAUAUAUUUCCUCGAGCUCAAACUCGAUGCCCUAGACCACACCGUUACAAUGAUCGACCAGGGGCUUAUAUUGACGGGCCUGCGUUGGGCACGACCCACACGCACCCACCCCCUCCUGGCGCCCCGAUCGGCCCGCUCAGCUCGCGCCCACCUCGCGCACGUACGCGUGCAGCUCGCGACGAGCCCGCAGCGAUCACGCCUAACUCUCGGUCCCCGUAACCUCCUGGUCUACCAACGCACGCUAGCUGGGUCCGCGCACACACACGCACGCACCAGCCUGACUCACGCACGCACGCACACACCCCUGACCCACGGACCCAGCACGAUCCGGUCCACGCCCGUCGCGCCCUGCGCGUGAUCACGCGGCCGCCACGCUCUGGCCGUGGCUCUUUAUUCCAACACUCACCCCCUGAGCCACGGCUCAGAGGAGUCCGCCGUCUUCAACUCUGAUGACGUCCGCCAGCAGCGCGUGCUCCGCCGCCGGCUCCCUCCGCAGCUUGGGGCAGUCCCUCUUGAAGUGGCCGCGCUCGCCGCACUUGUAGCAGCGCCCGCGCCGGUUCCCGCCGCUGCUCGACGCCAUGCUCUUGCCGUCGUCGUCCCAAGCACCGCCGUGUCGACGCUCCCGCGCAGCCCACUGCGCCGCCGUCAUGAGCAGUUGCUCACCCCCGCGCUCGCCACCGUCUUGUCCACGGCGUCGAACCCGCUCGUCAAACGCGCGCAGCCUCCCGAGCGCUUCGUCAAACGCCAUCAUCGUCAUGUCGUGGAACUGCUCGAUGCCGGCGACGACGGGGAAGAGGCGAUCCGGCACCGUAUCCAGCAACUUCUUGAAAAGUGCUGCGUCGCCCAGCGUCUCCCCGAGGUUGGCAUACCUCGCCGCCAUCGCCGCGAGCCUCCCGCCGUACACAUCGAGCUCCUCGCCGUCCGCCAUCUUCAUGCGGUCGAAUUCGCCGCGCAGCGUCGCCAUCCUCGCCGCGCGGACCCGAUCGGCGCCGAUGAACCUCACCUUCAAGGAGUCCCAUACCUCCCUGGCGGUGAGCUUCGUCGACACCUGCAGCAACACGUCCUCCGGCAGCGCAACGAGCAGCAACGCGCGCGCCGUCUUGUCCUUCCGCGCGUUCACCGCGGCAUCGCCCGGCGCCACCGCCUCCCACACGAUGUGCACGUCGAGGAUGGCAUGCGCCUUGAUCGCCCAGACAGUGUAGUUGUCCACCGUGAGCAUCGGCAUUGCCAUCGAUGCCGAUCCGCCCGCGCCACCGCCGUGAGGAACCAACGCCAUGGUCGCCGGUGAUCGCCCGAACCGAAGCUCUGUAUACCAAUUGUUGGAACCGUGGCUAUGCCCUAGCUCUACCUAUCUCUCUCUCGCUGCACCUUUCUCUCUCUCUGAACUAGAUCACCAGAGGAAGAAGAAGAAGGAAGGAGAAGGAAGAAGGACAUAGACACAAGUUUUUCCCGGGCGCUUGAAUGCCCGCCGCCGCACGUACGGCGUAUAUAUUUCCUCGAGCUCGAACUCGAUGCCCUAGACCACACCGUUACAAUGAUCGACCAGGGGCUUAUAUUGACGGGCCUGCGUUGGGCACGACCCACACGCACCCACCCCCUCCUGGCGCCCCGAUCGGCCCGCUCAGCUCGCGCCCACCUCGCGCACAUACGUUUGCAGCUCGCGACGAGCCCACAGCGAUCACGCCUAACUCUCGGUCCCCGUAACCUCCUGGUCUACCAACGCACGCUAGCUGGGUCCGCGCACACACACGCACGCACCAGCCUGACUCACGCACGCACGCACACACCCCUGACCCACGGACCCAGCACGAUCCGGUCCGCGCCCGUCGCGCCGAACGCGCGAUCACGUGGCCACCAUGCUCUGGCCGUGGCUCUUUAUUCCAACAUUACCAACCCUCCAUAGCAGCCCUUCUUCAGUAGGUCCAAGCCAUGGCUGAUCGCCUGCCAAGAGGAUGAGGCAUUCCCUGAAAAAAACUGUAUCUUCAAGUUUCCCAUUGGGAUAGUACCUGGCUUUCAAAACCUGGGCACACAAACUUUCAGGUUUAACUAACAAUCUCCACGGUUGUCGUGCCAAUAGAGCUUGAUUAAACAUUCGGAAAUCACGAAAACCAACCCCUCCUCUAUCCUUUGGCUGUAGGAGAUGGUCCCAUCCUUUCCAAUGAACUUUCCUUCUCCCUUUAGAUGAGCCCCAAUAAAAGUUCCUCACCAUUCGCGUUAGAUCAUCAUAUAGUGAAUAUGGUAAUUUGAACACCCCCAUUAUAUAGGUUGGGAGCGAUUGAGCCACAGAUUUAAUGAGAACUUCCCUCCCAGGUUGAGCUAGGUAUCCAUCCCCCCACUGAAUCAAACGCUUUGUCAAGCUAGUUUGCAAAUUCUGAAAACGGCCUUUCGACAUACGCCCCUCCAGGGUUGGGAGCCCCAAGUAUUUCUCUUCAAAAACAGUACUUGUAACAUUCAGAACAGCCCUUACUUGAUCUUGUGUAGCAUCUGGACAAGUAGUUCCAAAAAAGAGAGCAUUUAUCAUGAUUCAAAGUCUGGCCUGUAGCACUACCAUAUACUUCCAAGACCUCCUUAACUUGGACAGCUUGUGCUUGAGAAGCUUCGAAAAAUAGAGCUCUUCUACACACCUUCACCGGGGUAAUAGUUCCAGCUGUCACUCUGUGCUUUAAAAUAGCUGACAAGCCAUCCGCCACGAACAAGACAAGAUACGGUGAUAAAGGGUCACCUUGCCGAAGCCCACGCGUCGGUGCAAACGAAUCCAAGAGGAUCCCAUUUAAUUUAACAGAGUACCUCACCGAUGUGACACAUGACAUAAUCCAGUCCACCCAUCGGUGUGAGAAGCCCAUCUUUUGCAUCACCUGCCUCAAGAAAACCCAAUCCACCCUGUCAUAAGCUUUUGAGAGGUCUAGCUUAUAAGCACAAAAGCUCUUCGAAGGGCCUUUCUCCUGCUUGAUAUGAUGCAUACAUUCAAAAGCGAGUAGUGCAUUAUCUGUGAUCGGUCUCCCAGGGAUAAACGCACUUUGUUCCGGAGAAAUAAUAUCAUCCAACAACGGCCGCAGCCGGUUUACUAAACACUUUGAGAUCACCUUAUAUGUAACAUUACAUAAGCUUAUUGGCCUGUAAUCAGAAAUUCUGACGGGGUUAGAAAUUUUUGGGAUAAGUAUAAUGGAGGUAGAGUUAACACCUUCCGGCAUUAUACCAGAACGAAAAAAAUUCCUUUACCGAUGCCAGAACACUAUCCUUUAGAACACUCCAAUUACAUUGGAGAAAACGAGCCGAAAACCCAUCCGGUCCGGGGGCCUUCAAGGGGCCAAUUUGAAACAAUGCAUCUGAUAUUUCUUUAUCAUUGAAUGGAGCACAAAGUUUAGUGUUGUCAUCAGCCGACACCAAGGGAGUAAGCAGAUCCAAUAUAGGAGCAGAAUCAAGUGAGUUGUCCACAGAAAAUAUCUCCUAGAAAUAUUCAUUGGCCACUUUCCCCAUCGACGCCAAAUCUGAAUGUACCACACCUAUACUGUCAGUGAACUCACGUAUCAUGUUCUUUCUAGCUCCCCAAACAGCUUUGUUUUGGAAGCAUUUUGUAUUUCUGUCUCUUUCCUUAAGCCACGUGAUUCGAGACCUUUGCAGCCACAUCAUCUCUUCUUGGUACAACAAUUCAUUCAUCUUAUUAGUCACUUUCCCGAUAUCUUGUCUGUUGGCAUUCAUGUUCAUUAGUUCUUCCAGUUGACUUCUGGAUUUUGCUAGCUCUCUCGUAAUAUUGCCAAACUUUUUACCCCACGACUUGAUAGCUAACAUUGUUUUACUUAGGGCUUGAUGCAAUUCUGACAUGUUACCAACAGAGCCCACCUAAUCCCAGGCUUCCUUGACAAUCUCCGGUAGCACUGGAUCUCUUUCCCAGAUCAAUUCAUAACGGCGUGCACUCGAUUUCGGAGGUCCACUUUCAGGUACUCCUUUAAGAACAACCAUAAUGUGGUCAAAGCAUGGUGUGGGCACAUGUAAAACCGAUGCAAAGGAGAAAAGAUUUCGCCAAGAAUUUGUAGCAACCGCCCUGUCAAGUCUGACCCUUACAUUUGCAUGUCCACUUCGUUGGUUGUCAUAUGUGAAAGGGACUGCACUGAAUCCCAGAUCAGUCAAUCCACAACAUCUCGAGUGUAUCCCUAAAGGCCAGCAUUUGUGCAUCCGCUCUUGGUGUUGCGGAAAUAUGUUUGAAGCUCAAUUAAAAUCCCCGAUCACUAGCCAUGGCAGGUCGCUAGUGUUUUUGAGGUUCUGUAACUUUGCCCACAUGAGGUGACGAUUUUCAGUUCGGGGCUCACCAUACACACAGAUUAUUCGCCACUGUGGAGCAGCCUCAUGCAUCCGAACCAAAGCAUCAAUAUAGCGCUCAUCCGUGUCAACAAUUUCCACUAAGCAGGCCUCAUGCCAAUAGAGAGCUAGGCCGCCGCUCAUUCCAUUACUAUCAACACACGCAAAUCCCUUUAAUCCUAGUCGACCACGUAUCUUCUUCAUCUUUGCUUCCUUUUGUCUAGUCUCACAAAAAAACAC